AACGAACGCUGGCGGCGUGCCUAAUACAUGCAAGUCGAACGGGUUAUGGCUUCGGUCAUGACUAGUGGCGCACGGGUGAGUAACACGUGAGUAAUCUGCCCUUUUGUGGGGAAUAACAUGUCGAAAGAUAUGCUAAUACCGCAUAUGACCACGGUUUCUUAGGAAGCUGAGGUAAAAGGUGGCCUCUAUUUAUAAGCUAUCGCAGAAGGAUGAGCUUGCGCGGACAUUAGCUAGUCGGUGAGGUAACGGCUCACCAAGGCAACGAUGUCUAGCUGGUCUGUGAGGAUGACCAGCCACACUGGAACUGAGACACGGUCCAGACUCCUACGGGAGGCAGCAGUAGGGAAUAUUCCGCAAUGGGCGCAAGCCUGACGGAGCAACGCCGCGUGAGUGAUGAAGGUUUUCGGAUCGUAAAGCUCUGUCGUAAGGGAAGAAAUAGCUGGAACUAAUAUUUCCAGAAGUCGACGGUACCUUAAAAGAAAGCACCGGCUAACUACGUGCCAGCCGCCGCAGUAACAC
rnacentral:rRNA from 1 species